GAGACUCUGUGCGCGUGCAUAUCAAUAAGCGGAGGAAAAGAAACUAACAAGGAUUCCCUUAGUAACGGCGAGUGAAGCGGGAAGAGCUCAAAUCUGAAAUCUUCAAGGUUCUACCUUGACGAAUUGUAGUUUAUAGAAGUGUUUUCUGUUAGUAGAGUGGCAAAAGUUCUUUGGAAUAGGACAUCAUAGAGGGUGAGAAUCCCGUAUUUGGUCAUUCUUUCUAGCUUUGUGAUACACUUUCAACGAGUCGGAUUGUUUGGGAAUGCAGUCCAAAAUGGGUGGUAAAUUUCAUCUAAAGCUAAAUAUUGGCGAGAGACCGAUAGCGAACAAGUACCGUGAGGGAAAGAUGAAAAGAACUUUGAAAAGAGAGUUAAACAGUACGUGAAAUUGUCAAAAGGGAAGCGUUUGACACCAGUGUUGCUUUUCCGAAAAUCAAUUACGAAUGUUUUAUUUUUGAGAAGUUAUGACUUCAUCGGCUUGCUUCUCUCUUUACGAAACUUUCUUAAUGCACUUUUCGUUUAACAAGUCAACAUCAAUUUCUUUUGUUGUAAAAGAGUCAUUGGAAGGUGGCUUUCUUUUCGGAGAAAGUGUUUAUAGCCUUUGGCUUCUGCAAUCGGAGAGAUUGAGGUCUGCAGCGUAGAUCCUUCGGGGUUAGAUGCAUUUGUGCUAAGUUAUAGCCUUUCAUAGACAACUUGUUGACUAUGAUCAGUCAUGUAGCUUACUCGCUUAUGCUAUUUUACCUACGCUUAGGAUGUUGAAGAUGUAGCACAUCAU
rnacentral:rRNA from 1 species